rnacentral:rRNA from 1 species
GGGGAAUAUUGGACAAUGGGCGCAAGCCUGAUCCAGCCAUACCGCGUGGGUGAAGAAGGCCUUCGGGUUGUAAAGCCCUUUUGUUGGGAAAGAAAAGCAGCCAGUUAAUACCUGGUUGUUCUGACGGUACCCAAAGAAUAAGCACCGGCUAACUCCGUGCCAGCAGCCGCGGUAAUACGGAGGGUGCUAGCGUUGUUCGGAAUUACUGGGCGUAAAGGGCGCGUAGGCGGCCGUUUGCGUCGGAUGUGAAAGCCCGGGGCUCAACCUCGGAACGGCAUUCGAUACGGGACGGCUGGAGACCGGGAGAGGAGAGUGGAAUAGCCAGUGUAGAGGUGAAAUUCGUAGAUAUUGGCUGGAACACCGGUGGCGAAAGCGGCUCUCUGGCCCGGUUCUGACGCUGAGGCGCGAAAGCGUGGGGAGCAAA